AGCUUUUCUGGGAAGAGUACAUGUGAAGUAUCAAUAAUCAGACUAACAGCAAAGGAGAGCUGAUCUAUGCUGUGAAAAGACAUAGUUAUAUAUAUUCAACUAAAUACAACACAGCGAGUUUGAAAUCUCAAAACCUACCUUCUCAAUAUGAAGACUGAUACAAGAUGUCUAUAGCAAGGAACUGACCCUCUAAGGACAGAGAGGACGAUGGAGAAAAUGAAGAAAGAGCAAGGAACAACAAUCUCACCAUUUUCUGAACUUCUCCCAUGCCAGCUCUCCUUUGAAAAUGAAAGCAAGAUGCAAUAAACUGUUUGGGGUAUGCAACUGCAUGGAAAUUGGAUGUGCUGACUAAUCUAAGCAACAGCAAGCAUUUCUUAUAUGUAUGCGCGUGUGGAAAAAUAAGGAAAAAAGCACCUUGAAAUGUCUGGUAUUUCUCUAACAGCCCUACAAAAGCUCUCACAGCUCCACAAUUGGUAUUAAAUGUCUCCAUAAUUGCUGUGGUAUUGGGAGGUGCAUACACCAGGCGAUAAAGAGUUCUCAUUGCUAGAAUACCAAGAAAUAACAGCUCGAUUGCAGCUUGCUGGUACAUUUUUUUAAAGAGAGAAUGUCACCAUCUUAACAAGGCAUAUGGUAAUUUUCCUCAGGGUACCUAAGGACAGCAAAGCCUGAUGUUGAUUAGAUACUAAAACUCCUUGUAAUUCAUGCUCAUGGAGGGUAUG